rnacentral:lncRNA from 1 species
CCCGGAAAGUUAACACUAUGACUGACUGACUGGCUGGCUGGCUGACUGACUGACUGAUGUGAAUUUUCCCACUCAUCACAAAAGUGCACAGUUUCAAAGGAACUCUGCACUAAAAAUGGACGAAGGCUAUAGCCUUACUUUUUUGCCCACUUAUGAAAAAUGAAAAAAGUCGCCAAAAAUGGACGAAAAGUUAAGGCUAUAUGGCCUUACUUUUUUUGCUGUUUUUUACCCACUUAUGAAAAAUAAAAAAAAGUCGCUAAAAAUUUUUUGCUGUUUUUCGACCACUUGUGAAAAAUGGAAAUAUAGCCUUACUUUUUUGCCGUUUUUCACGUUUGAAAUGUUUUUCAGGUCCAUGUUUUUCAAAAUGGAAAUAUAGCCUUACUUUUUUGCCGUUUUUCAUGUUUCUUACUUUUUUGCUGUUUUUUUUGCUGUUUUUUGGCCACUUAUGUGAAAAAUGGAAAUAUAGCCUUACUUUUUUGCCGUUUUUCACGUUUGAAAUGUUUUUCAGGUCCAUGUUUUUCAAAAUGGAAAUAUAGCCUUACUUUUUUGCUGUUUUUUUUGCUGUUUUUUGCCCACUUAUGAAAAAUGAAAAAAGUCGCCCGACCUUUUUUCUCCUUUUUGUCUCUUUACGGAAAAUGAAAAAUGUCGUAAAAAUUGCUUUUUGCUGUUGUUUGUCCUUUUUAAUUGCUUUUUUGCUGUUUUUGUCCCUUUACGAAAAAAAGUCGUUAAAAUCGACGAAAACUUAAGGCAAUAACCUUACUUAUUUGCUGUUUUCUGCCCAGUUAUGAAAAAGUCGUCUUAUCUGUUUCAAGCAUUGUAGUUGUUCGUUUUAAAGUUUGUUCUUCCGUUGAAGUGAUUUCUUCAAUUUCUUUUUUUUUUUUAGUUUUUCGUUUUAAAUCACUUUGUUCUUCUGUUGAAGUGAUUUCUUUAAUUUCUUUUUUUUUUUUUCAAAAGCUAGCGAUGAAAAAUUGUCAAUCAAAAUAGCCUUGCUUUUUUGUUGUUUUUUGUUGCUUUACGUCAAAAUGGACAAAAAGUAAACAUUGAGACACAUUUUCUCAUCAAAACAACCACUUUCAAUUGAUAAAAACACGUUUUAAAACAUUUUGCAAAGCGGGCAACCACAGGCAAGUGGCAAUCUGUGCUCAACAAAGGGAGAGCACAGGAAUUUUUUAAAUAAAAAAGGCCCGGAACUAUUAUUCCAAACUUUCUGAAAAUUGUUGAUAAGCAUUUAUUUCUUUAUUUGAUAAGCAUUUAUUACUUUCAACUGAUAAGAAAUGCUCACUGACAUAGGGCUUUGCAUUUAUUGGCUUAGAUUGGAUGAAUUCCCCAAGGGAUAACAUAUUAUUCAGAAAUCUGCUGUGUUGGUGUAUAAGAUGUUUGUGUGAUGUUACUCUGAGUGUAUAUCCACACCGGGCAGGCUUGAAAAAUAUGCCUGGCCACGGCGGGAUUAUUCAGAAUUUAAAAUUUUCAUGCCACAUUGCCUGGAAGGCGUUUUAUAAACUAACCUCAUUUAAAUGAUUCAAGACAGCGACUGUAGAUAAUUCUGUUUGGUAUAAAAUAAUCGUUCUUUUCCUGUCAUGUAAUCCGGUUCAACAUUGAGGACUGCUCACUGAUCCAAAUUCUCUUGGAACAAAAUAUCUAAACAAUGAAAGAUAUUAAUCUAGUUAUUUGCACAUAUCAACUGACAACAUAUCUUAUCUAACUGAUACCAGACGAAGGAUGCAACAGAAAAAUUCAUAUUUUUGUUUUUAAAAAUAGGAGUACCACAGGAAUUUUUUUAAAAAUUCAUAAAGAUCCCCCAACUCACAAAACUUUCUUUCUCUCAUCAAAACAAUCACCUUCGACUUAGAAAAACUUGUUUCAAAAACUUUGGGUCAAAUGCAAAGGGGGGAUCAUAGGCAAACAAAGAAAAUUCACACUUUUGUGUUUAACCCAUUAAGAGCCAGCACUCUCCUCUUAAUCGUUAGACAGAGUAAAUCGUUAGACAGAGUAAUCGUUAGACAGAGUAAAAUAACAAAGCAGGGCGCAUCUGGGCACAAUCGGGCGCAUCGAGCACUUCUAUCAUG